rnacentral:piRNA from 1 species
UGAGUGUCUUGAUGGAGAUCUAUAACCAGU